rnacentral:rRNA from 1 species
GAUGAACGCUGGCGGCGUGCCUAAUACAUGCAAGUAGAACGCUGAAGGAAGGAGCUUGCUCUUUCCGGAUGAGUUGCGAACGGGUGAGUAACGCGUAGGUAACCUGCCUGGUAGCGGGGGAUAACUAUUGGAAACGAUAGCUAAUACCGCAUAACAGUAGAUGUUGCAUGAUAUCUACUUAAAAGGUGCAAUUGCACCACUACCAGAUGGACCUGCGUUGUAUUAGCUAGUUGGUGAGGUAACGGCUCACCAAGGCGACGAUACAUAGCCGACCUGAGAGGGUGAUCGGCCACACUGGGACUGAGACACGGCCCAGACUCCUACGGGAGGCAGCAGUAGGGAAUCUUCGGCAAUGGACGGAAGUCUGACCGAGCAACGCCGCGUGAGUGAAGAAGGUUUUCGGAUCGUAAGGCUCUGUUGUAAGAGAAGAACGAGUGUGAGAGUGGAAAGUUCACACUGUGACGGUAUCUUACCAGAAAGGGACGGCUAACUACGUG